rnacentral:rRNA from 1 species
CCCUUAGAUGUUCUGGGCCGCACGCGUGCUACACUGAGUGGAUCAGCGGGUCAGGUUGCGCGAAAGCGUUUCCUAAUCUUUAAAUCCGCUCGUGAUGGGGAUUGACGGUUGCAAUUUUCUGUCAUGAACGAGGAAUACCUUGUAAGCGCGGGUCAUCAUCCCGCGCUGAAUACGUCCCUGCCCUUUGUACACACCGCCCGUCGCUCCUACCGAUUGAGUGGUCCGGUGAGGCUUUGGGAUCUGAGCGGAAAGAGCGUUUCGCUGUUUCUGCUCAGAAAACUCAGUCGAACCUUAUCAUUUAGAGGAAGGAGAAGUCGUAACA